rnacentral:rRNA from 1 species
UGGGGAAUUUUGGACAAUGGACGCAAGUCUGAUCCAGCAAUGCCGCGUGCAGGACGAAGGCCUUCGGGUUGUAAACUGCUUUUGUACAGAACGAAAGGGCUCUGGUUAAUACCUGGGGCAGAUGACGGUACUGUAAGAAUAAGCACCGGCUAACUACGUGCCAGCAGCCGCGGUAAUACGUAGGGUGCGAGCGUUAAUCGGAAUUACUGGGCGUAAAGCGUGCGCAGGCGGUUUUGUAAGACCGAUGUGAAAUCCCCGGGCUCAACCUGGGAACUGCAUUGGUGACUGCAAGGCUGGAGUGCGGCAGAGGGGGAUGGAAUUCCGCGUGUAGCAGUGAAAUGCGUAGAUAUGCGGAGGAACACCGAUGGCGAAGGCAAUCCCCUGGGCCUGCACUGACGCUCAUGCACGAAAGCGUGGGGAGCAAACAG